rnacentral:rRNA from 1 species
AGUCGAACGAAGUAGCAAUACUUAGUGGCAGACGGGUGAGUAACAUGUAGGUAUCUACCCUUUGGCCUGGAAUAACACGAGGAAACUCGUGCUAAUACUGGAUAAGUCUUUACGGAGAAAGCUUUAUGCACCAAUGGAUGAGCCUGCACUUGAUUAGUUUGUUGGUAGGGUAAUGGCCUACCAAGACUAUGAUCAAUAGCUGAUUUGAGAGGAUGAUCAGCCACAUUGGGACUGAGACACGGCCCAAACUCCUACGGGAGGCAGCAGUGGGGAAUCUUGCACAAUGGAGGAAACUCUGAUGCAGCGAUGCCGCGUGAGUGAAGAAGGCCUUUGGGUUGUAAAGCUCUUUCGUCGGGGAAGAAAAUGACUGUACCCGAAUAAGAAGGUCCGGCUAACUUCGUGCCAGCAGCCGCGGUAAUACGAAGGGACCUAGCGUAGUUCGGAAUUACUGGGCUUAAAGAGUUCGUAGGUGGUUGAAAAAGUUGGUGGUGAAAUCCCAGAGCUUAACUCUGGAACUGCCAUCAAAACUUUUCAGCUAGAGUUUGAUAGAGGAAAGCAGAAUUU